GACGAACGCUGGCGGCGUGCUUGACACAUGCAAGUCGAACGAUGAAGCCCAGCUUGCUGGGUGGAUUAGUGGCGAACGGGUGAGUAACACGUGGGCAACCUGCCCCAAACUCUGGGAUAACUCCUCGAAAGAGGUGCUAAUACCGGAUACGAACUAGACAGACAUCUGUACUAGUUGGAAAGUUUUUCGGUUUGGGAUGGGCCCGCGGCCUAUCAGCGUGUUGGUGAGGUAACGGCUCACCAAGGCUACGACGGGUAACCGGCCUGAGAGGGCGACCGGUCACACUGGGACUGAGACACGGCCCAGACUCCUACGGGAGGCAGCAGUGGGGAAUAUUGCGCAAUGGGCGAAAGCCUGACGCAGCGACGCCGCGUGAGGGAUGAAGGUCUUCGGAUCGUAAACCUCUUUCAGUAGGGACGAAGCGAAAGUGACGGUACCUAAAGAAGAAGCACCGGCUAACUACGUGCCAGCAGCCGCCGUAA
rnacentral:rRNA from 1 species